GGCACAAUGAUUUCUACAUCCUUUUAUGUCACUACAAAGGUGGCACAACUUUACCUAUUCUCACUGCAUUUUUAUAAAAAUGAAAGAAAAUGUAGUGCCACUGCACUCUGGCUUCAGGAGACAGGAGAUGCCAACUAAAGCAGCCACAAGGGCUUGAGUGGAACAGCCAGGUGAGCAGCAGAAUCCACAGCUGGGGAUCCUGCCCAGACAAGCUCUGGUGCCAGUGUGAGAGUGGCUAUUAAAUGGUUCCAACACAAGACAUAGGGAACUGAAAACUCAUCUCUCGAAGGGUGGAAAAGAGAAAGGAUGAGAUGCUGACCUUCAACACAGCAGCUUGAGUGCUUAGGAAAAAUGAGUAGCUUAAGAAGAGUGUUAAAAUGUGUGGAAGAAACUAUGGCAUGGGGGGGAGAAUAGAGAGGAAAAAAGAGUAACCUGUAAGAUAGAAAAUGGAGGGAGCAAGGCAGUGAAAAUAAACAGGAUUAGAGAGAUAGUAAAGCUUAUAAAUGCAUUUGAUGCUACGCUUCUUUGUCUUUACAGAUGUCCCAGGUGGCAUAAAAAAUUAAUCAGGCAGGUUAGUGGGGAGGUGGAGUGGAUGUUCCCCAGAGGCCCCAUACAACCCCGACUAUUCUGGGAUUCUGUAGAGAUCAAAAGCAACAGGGAAUGGGGGCAGGAUAUCUUCCUUAUCUGAAUAAAAUUUGAGAUAUUUAAGCCUCUACCUGUUAUCAGCUCCAUCCCCAGCCUGGCCUGUUCUAAGGGAGGCACCCAGAUGCCCAGUUUACAUGGGUACUGCACCAGAGCAAAUCACAUCUGAACAUCCAUAAGAUUCUCUGUGUGGAAAUGUUAUUUUCAAAAACGGCUCAAGAGCUGCAGAAAUAAGUACAUUUCUGGGGAACUGCCAAGAUGCUGAAUAAAGUGACAUUUGUAACAGUAAUGAGCACCCCACUUUGCUUCUGAACAAAAGGCACUGCUCAAAAAGUGCAUCCAUGAAUAUAAUUUCCAUACAUUUCUGCAGAACCCAACCCCACCCCACAUUAGCACUGUGUCAGAGGAAAAAUUAAACAUUCAAGAUGAGAAAUACAAAGCUAAAGAUGAAACACAGAUUUAAACCAUGAUAGAUUUAACUUGGACUCAUCUUCAAUUAUUUGGCACUGCAUUUCUCUAAUUGUGUACAGGCUGCAUUUACUCUGGGGCCUGUGUUGUCUUCAAGGGUUUCUUCUGGCAAAGCUGAGACAACUGGAGAGAAACUACUGCUGCCUCUUGUCUGCCAGGAAACCACGUCCUAAGCACGUGGGCUUAGCCUGCAAGGAGCACAAGGAAAGCUCUCUGCAGAUGGGAUUUUAGAGCUGCUUUCAGCCAGCCAAGCCCUUGGGAAGCCCCAAGUGGCCUUACAAAGGAUAAACCCCUGUUUUGUCAAGACAGAGCAGUUUUUAUUACUCCAAGGAGGCAUCAUCAGUACUUCUCUAUGACAACAAAAGGGAGGGAAGCGGAAAUCGUGACACUGCGGAAACGUGAAAAAAAAGUUUCAGCAUCCCCAGCUGUGGGGGGCGGCCCCAGCGCCCGCUCCCAGCCCCAGGACAAUGGGGCUGGGCUGCCACCUUGGCCCGGUGCUGGGCUGCGGGACCGGCGGCAGCGAGCCAGGCGGCCUCGUACCCCCGCCACUCCGAACACACAGAACCGCCGGGCGCUGGGCGUGGAAGGGGCCGCUGGAGCUCACCCAGCCCAAACCCCGCUCAAGGCUGAAAUUUCAGGAUCCAAAUGCCUCGGCGAACGCUUUAGCAUGACAUUUGCAUGGCACAAGAAAAUCUUUCCAAAGGAUGGUUACUGGGUCAUUACAUUUUUACUUUACUUUAAAAGGUACAUUUACUCUAAUGUACUUUUUUACACUUAUUUAUAAGAUUAAAUAAUGCACUUGAGCCCGUUUGUAUUUUCUUUUUAUUAGAGAAAGAAGACAACCAUGAAAAUAAUUUUCGUACAGAUAAAAACAUAAUUAAGUUUAGAAAAACGCAACAAUUUUCUCUGAAACUUUAACUGGUGAAAUUGCAAUGCUGAAACUGCAUUUGAAAAAGUACAAAACCUUAUUAAUGAUACUUGCAGAAACGUCAGUGCUCAGGAAAUUCAAAAGUGAGCACGUGAAAACACAUUCUUUAAAAAGAGAGUGGGAAAACAGAAUGGAGAACUCAUUCUUU